UGUGUGUGUGUGUGUGUGUGUGUGUAUAUGUGUAUAUAUAUAUAUAUACAUAUAUAUAUAUACACACACACACACACC